UCUAAUAGCUUCUCUAGGGUUACACUAAUAUGACCGAAUAAGGAAAACAUACAUUUGAAAGCUGUUAUGCAGUCAAUUGGCAGAAUUCUAAAUGGCUACGAACCAUUUAGGAGGUUAAAAUCUCUCCAAAAUAAAGGUUGACAUAUAUUGCACUGGGGACCACUUUUACCAAUGCAGUUGUAGAGUUUUCCAUGGCAGAAUCCUCCUGAAAGAUGCUCCAACCCUAAAAGCUAGAAGGGGACUCUGAGCACAGAAAAGACAUGAAGCCAGGGGUAUGAUCCAUUAAGUCUUCAAAAGCUAUCUUCAUCUAUGUAUGUAAUGCCCAGAGAUGAUAGAAGAAUUGAUAGCAUACAAUAGACAAGCAGAUACUUAAGAGAUUUAACUUCUCUAGGCUUCUACUUCCUCAUCUAUAAAAUGGGAAAAAGAGUCUGUUCUGUGGGAUAGACUGAAAAGGACAGCACACAUAAAGUGCUGCCUUGUACCUGGAGCACAGGAAGUACUCAACAAAUCAAAGUUAUCAGUACCAGGGAGAAGCAGCGUAUCUCAAUUAUCUUUGUCCCUAAACUAAAAACCUUCCUCCUUAAAAUAGUAUUUGCACUAAGAUCUCCUCCAAAACAAUGUAUCACAGAAGUAGAGCGUAAAAAGACAUUCUAUAAAUAAGAGGGGAGUGUGUAGCAGGACACUGGGGAACAAUAACACUUACUUAUCCAGUUUCUGACAUUGAGGAAACUCUGCUCGUUUGUCAGAUCAAAAAGUAGAAGAAAACCCAUAGCAUCUCUGAAGAAUGCUGUUGUUAAGCUACGAAACCUAGGAACAUAAAAGCAGAACGAAUAUGCAGAGAUCUCUUAUCUCUGAUUGCCCUUUGUUUGACUUGAAGUAAGGAGCACAUAACUGAAGAUCUCAUACCUCUCCUGCCCUGCUGUGUCCCAUAACUGCAGGUGGAUUCUCUGGCCUCUGCCAGUGGCUCCAUCUGGCCCAUUGGCUCUGUACACCUAAAACAGCAAAGUGAAAGAGAAAAUAAAAGAGAACUUCUGACACCAGUGAACCCUUCUCACCUUUUUAUUCAGUACAAAUCCCUAAGGCAUCUAAACUUCCAAAGAGAAUCCCAUAUGGAAUACAACCAUGUUUGUAUUUAUGUCAAAUAAUUAUA